rnacentral:lncRNA from 1 species
AUGGUGGCAGGCUACGGCGGUGAUGACGAGGCCGUUGGCCAGGAGGGCAGCCAGGUAGGUGCCCAGGAAGAGCGAGAAGUGCAAGAGCUGCAGCUCCCGCAUGUCCGCCAACGGCAGGAGGAGGAACCCCUUGAAGGAGCUGCUGUUGGACACUUUGCUCUCUCCGGACACGGAGGACUGUCCAAGGAAGAAGACGCUGACAACUCAGGACAGACAGCAAAACUUUCCCAUGACUUCCCCGCAGCUGAAGAGACGGACGUGGUUCAAGACCCAGCUUCUGGGUCCUCUGGGAGGUCCACCUCCAUGGGCUCCUCCCCUUCCUCUGGGGGAGUCCACCUUCUCCCUCUCCUCUGGAGGAGUUCCUUUCCAUGGGCUCCUCUUCCUCUGGGAGGUCCACCUCCAUGGGCUCCUCCUCCUCGUCCUCCAUGGGGGUCCAUUUCCAUCGGCUCCUCCUCAGGGGGAGGUCCACUUCCAUGGCCGCCUCUUCCUCCUCUUCUGCAGGGGUGCACCUCCAUAGGCUCCUCCUCCUCCUCUUCUGCAGGGGUCCACCUCCAUGGGCGGCUCCUCCUCCUCCUCCAGGCCCACGGCAUCUGAGCAGGGCCAGGGAGGUGACUGCGGCCAGGUCCACCAACGGUGCCAGGCGAGAAGUCACAUCUGGGCUCUACGAAGUAGAGAGCAUCUUCCGGAUCGUUGGAUCUUCACUAGCUGGUGGACUGCUCCAAGCUGCUGCUGGCCGGUUGGCGUAGAGAGCUGCUGGCCAAAUAUUCUUGUGUAAGUUGAAUUUUGCUAUUUUUGUGAGCUACAUAGGCCUGGUAGGCGAUGGAAUGGCCUAAAAAAAAACAUGACUUGGGGGUCUUUGCCCGAGGUAUUACCGUGCGCUCAACAACCCUUGGAAUACGUCAAGCUCUCCGAAGAAGAGCGACGACGCGCCCCGUCCGCUGAUCGCUCUUGCCGAAACCGCCGGCAGUCACACCGAGAUGGAAAGCCGCCGCCUGGAUCCUGUCCAACAGGCGAUAAACGACGGAUUCAGACGAAGGUCGAGGGCGGCAGUUUCUGCCAGUCCGAGCUGUAAGACCGGUUGUUAAGGCGGCAUCGUACCCCCCCCACAAAAUCCAAAGAGGAUUUUUUUUCCCUCAGCCUCCUUUUUCAAAGCUAUCGGGCCAAGCAAUGCCGAUCGCGACCCUUCCCUUGACUUUUUUCUUUCCCCCCUCC